GUAGAAACAAAAGAAUGUGGGGAGUUUAUCUAACUAGCUUGUUCACUCAUGUGGUCCUAAGACUCACCUUUGAUCUACCUGGAUGGUCAGUCAAGCUGGCAAAGCAGAAUAUCUGUGUGUCAGUGUACUUUAUUCACCCGUUGUUGUGUCAGGACCUGCAGGACAGACCCCCACAGCCGGUGCCCCAUGUGAGGAUCGCUGCAAAGGGAGCGUGACAGACCCCAUGAAAACGAAGGUUGAGGAAGACUGCGUGGUCAAGUCAGUAAAACAGGGAGAGAACAUGUAUAAAUCACGGCAAUGCAAGUGCUCACUACAGAACCUGCAGGAGGAGCAAGUGCACAACUGAGAGAAGGCAGCGCCCUGCCCGAGGAAGCAGGCAGCUCCACAGAAGGGUGUUCUCAGAAUUCUCCCUGAUCUUCCUUGAGGUCCUGAUGCAGCUCCUGGAGGAAAAGCCUGCAUGGGGGAGGGAGCCCUCCUCAUGUGCAGCCCUGAGGCUGUCCCAUCACCUCACCCACCACUGCCCUUCAGUCAAUUGGUGAACAUUUCUGAGCUAAUCUUCCUGAAACGUGUGGCUUUGGGCAGUAUGUUCACCAGGUUACAAAAUACUUAAGCUCUGUCUAUUUCCACAGGCACGUAUUCCUUUCCGGAGCACAGGUUGGUCUUGAGUGUGUGGUAGUGGAUAAUUAGUGAGAGCAGGUUUGUGCGCAUCUUGUCAUCUCCCAAAGUGCACCCUCUAUGGAGUUGACACCCACAAACAAGCAGAUGGACUUGCUCAGCUGGAGGAUGACAAACAUUUUCAUAACCUAUGACCUCAGUGGUGCUCUUUAUCUGCAAGACCAAUCAUGAUCAUGCCUCUGGCUAAUGUGCACUCAUCAAGGGCAAGCAGUGCCCACCUCUGUGAGGGCUGCUUCAGGUGCACACUCCCUUUGCAGAGGGAAGCUUUUGUUCCUACCUGGGUCCCAUGAAUGUGUUUGCAUUUGCUGCACAAACCACCUUACUCAGACUCACCACCCAAGAGCUCACAGUGCACCUAAUCCAACUCUAGGGCAUUAUACAUGGAAUCUCUCAUUGCCAGGGUCUCCAAUUCCAAUGAAAGGAUGUUCAUUAUGGGAUUCCCCAGAACUUUCUGGUCUUUUAGAGACAUGAACUGGCCUCUAAAAGCUUAAAAAUCUUACUCUCUGGGAAGGAGCAUUGUAAACCAGAAGUAAGAUAAGCUCUAAAUUAAUAUAUAUUUUGUGGAUUUUGGAAGAAAGAGUUCAAAUAGUAAUAGCCUUACCCACUUUCCCUCUGACUAAUAUCAGUUCUAGAAAACACUGAAAAAACCGUGGAAUCUUGAGAUACUUAGGCUUGUUAUAUUAGGAGAUCACCAGAAAAAGAAAGAACCAAGCGUCCUUGGAGAUUCCUCCAUUGUAACUGAUUUGUGACUGCGGUGCAGGAUGGUCGUAGUGGAGGAGGCUGUGCCUGUGUAGGGCAGGGAGUCAUGGGAAUUCUCACGCCUCCUGUGCAAUUUCUUUGUAAUCCUAAAACUGCUGUAAAAUAAACUUUAUGAUAAGGAGUGACAGAAACAUUUGAAGGAAACUUUUGGCACUUUUUAAGAAUCAUUCUUAGUCUCACCACAUGAUCAAAUAACCUUGCUCCAAAUCAUGUAUUCAUCCAAUUUGAAAACUUGUUCACAGUAGCACCUUCAUGGAAUGUUUGUAUCAACGUUAUAGAGUGUGGCCUUUUCCACUCUGUGAAUUUGGCUUAUAUUACGACUCUUGAAUGGAAUAUUUAUCUUAAAAUUAG
rnacentral:lncRNA from 1 species